rnacentral:rRNA from 1 species
UUAUACAGCGAAACUGCGAAUGGCUCAUUAUAUAAGUUAUCGUUUAUUUGAUAGUACCUUACUACUUGGAUAACCGUGGUAAUUCUAGAGCUAAUACAUGCUAAAAAUCCCGACUUCGGAAGGGAUGUAUUUAUUAGAUUAAAAACCAAUGCCCUCUGGGCUCUCUGGUGAUUCAUGAUAACUUCUCGAAUCGCAUGGCCUUGCGCCGGCGAUGGUUCAUUCAAAUUUCUUCCCUAUCAACUUUCGAUGUUUGGGUAGUGGCCAAACAUGGUUGCAACGGGUAACGGAGGGUUAGGGCUCGACCCCGGAGAAGGAGCCUGAGAAACGGCUACUACAUCCAAGGAAGGCAGCAGGCGCGCAAAUUACCCAAUCCCGACACGGGGAGGUAGUGACAAUAAAUACUGAUACAGGGCUCUUUUGGGUCUUGUAAUUGGAAUGAGUACAAUUUAAAUCCCUUAACGAGGAACAAUUGGAGGGCAAGUCUGGUGCCAGCAGCCGCGGUAAUUCCAGCUCCAAUAGCGUAUAUUAAAGUUGUUGUGGUUAAAAAGCUCGUAGUUGAACCUUGGGCCUGGCUGGCCGGYCCGCCUCACCGCGUGUACUGGUCCGGCCGGGCCUUUCCCUCUGUGGAACCCCAUGCCCUUCACUGGGUGUGGCGGGGAAACAGGACUUUUACUUUGAAAAAAUUAGAGUGCUCCAGGCAGGCCUAUGCUCGAAUACAUUAGCAUGGAAUAAUGAAAUAGGACGUGCGGUUCUAUUUUGUUGGUUUCUAGGACCGCCGUAAUGAUUAAUAGGGACAGUCGGGGGCAUCAGUAUUCAAUUGUCAGAGGUGAAAUUCUUGGAUUUAUUGAAGACUAACUACUGCGAAAGCAUUUGCCAAGGAUGUUUUCAUUAAUCAGGAACGAAAGUUAGGGGAUCGAAGACGAUCAGAUACCGUCGUAGUCUUAACCAUAAACUAUGCCGACUAGGGAUCGGACGAUGUUAUUUUUUGACUCGUUCGGCACCUUACGAGAAAUCAAAGUG